GAUGAACGCUGGCGGCGUGCCUAAUACAUGCAAGUCGAGCGAACGGACGAGAAGCUUGCUUCUCUGAUGUUAGCGGCGGACGGGUGAGUAACACGUGGAUAACCUACCUAUAAGACUGGGAUAACUUCGGGAAACCGGAGCUAAUACCGGAUAAUAUUUUGAACCGCAUGGUUCAAAAGUGAAAGACGGUCUUGCUGUCACUUAUAGAUGGAUCCGCGCUGCAUUAGCUAGUUGGUAAGGUAACGGCUUACCAAGGCAACGAUGCAUAGCCGACCUGAGAGGGUGAUCGGCCACACUGGAACUGAGACACGGUCCAGACGCCUACGGGAGGCAGCAGUAGGGAAUCUUCCGCAAUGGGCGAAAGCCAGACGGAGCAACGCCGCGUGAGUGAUGAAGGUCUUCGGAUCGUAAAACUCUGUUAUUAGGGAAGAACAUAUGUGUAAGUAACUGUGCACAUCUUGACGGUACCUAAUCAGAAAGCCACGGCUAACUACGUG
rnacentral:rRNA from 1 species